rnacentral:rRNA from 1 species
GCCAGCCGCCGCGGUAACACCGGCGGCCCGAGUGGUGAUCGUGAUUAUUGGGUCUAAAGGGUCCGUAGCCGGUUGGUCAGUCCUCCGGGAAAUCUGAUAGCUCAACUAUUAGGCUUUCGGGGGAUACUGCCAGACUUGGAACCGGGAGAGGUAAGAGGUACUACAGGGGGUAGGAGUGAAAUCUUGUAAUCCCUGUGGGACCACCUGUGGCGAAGGCGUCUUACCAGAACGGGUUCGACGGUGAGGGACGAAAGCUGGGGCACGAACCGGAUUAGAUACCCGGGUAGUCCCAGCCGUAAACGAUGCUCGCUAGGUGUCAGGCAUGGCGCGACCGUGUCUGGUGCCGCAGGGAAGCCGUGAAGCGAGCCACCUGGGAAGUACGGCCGCAAGGCUGAAACUUAAAGGAAUUGGCGGGGGAGCACAACAACGGGUGGAGCCUGCGGUUUAAUUGGACUCAACGCCGGACAACUCACCGGGGGCGACAGCAAUAUGUAGGCCAAGCUGAAGACUUUGCCUGAAUCGCUGAGGGGAGGUGCAUGG